rnacentral:tRNA from 1 species
GAUAAAGUAGCUCUAAGUUAAGAGUAGCAGAUUUAAGCUUUGUUUAUGAGAAUAUUCUCCUUUAUUA